AUCGCUUCUGGACCUUUUGGCUAAGAUCAUGUGUGGUAUCUAUUCUUGUCAGCUUAAUAUCUGGCAAGCCUAGCGUUGCCUGGCACCAAUAUUUGACUGACUUUUCCCGACCGAGUUGACACCAAAUUUUUCUUCAGUUGGCUCACAGGUUCUCUUGGUCUCACACAAUCAUCGGGUACGGACGGUCCAUU